GUGUGUGUGUGUGUGACACCACACUAAAAAAGAGACAAUACCACUGGAAGGGUGGUGGGAGGAAACCAGAGAACCCCGAGGAACCCCACAUGGACAUGAGGAGAACAUGCACAGAAAUUCCGCAUCAACAGUAACCUGAGCGCAGGAACACUGGAGCUGCGAACCCUGGUGUGGAGGCUACAACACUACCACUACACAGGAGCUGUACUCUACAUGCGAAUUCACAGUACUAAAGGUGACAGUGUGGCUCUUCUCAUCCUUAUACAGUGAUCUAAGACAUCUGAUCUGGAUAAACUCAGGUAAAGUUGGGAGGUAUUCCUAAUAUCUCCCUACUUCCUACUCCCUAUGCCCUACUCCCUAAUCCCUACUCCCUACCCCCUACACUAAAGAGUCACACUUCAGUGUGAUAAACACUGGUGUUCAGUAAUGGAUUCCUCAGCAUCUCACCAUCAUCACCAAACCACACACCAAGGCUUUGUGUCAUUUUCAAACAGCACGAUGGGUAUUUUCUGUCCAACUACUGUUGGACAGUAAUCCUUAAAAUUUUAUGAAAGAUCGUGUCUUAACCAUCAUCACUGCUUCAUAAUUUCGGAAUUUUUUUUGCGUAGAGAUUUUUUAAAAAAAAUGACAGAUACAAAUUUACUCAUAGCUUCAACGUUUAUCAGUUUGGAUUAUAAUCUAGGACUCUGUGAAGAUUCUGUGUUUUUUAUUUAAUUGCUGUUCAGUUAGUUGUACUAGAAGCAGUAUGUACAUCAUCAAGCUGUCUGUGCUGAAAACAUCAUAUAUAACACCACACAGUAAAAUCCCUAGUGUUGAUUUAACACCCAGAGUGUUGAAUGCACACCCCAAACUGUCCAUUGGACACAAAUGAACACACUGGGUGUUAAUUCAACACUAGGGAUUUUACUGUGCACAUACUUUUGAAAUCAGCAUAUGUUUUAUUGUUGAACCCAGGUGUUAAAAAUGGACGAAAAAUAGAUGUACAAGAAACCACCAUUUUGUUUUCAAUCAAAUAGCCAUACAGUGCUUAUUUAUUUACACAGGUCAGUAUUAACGUUCAGUAGUACAAACAAAAUGUUUACACAUUUCAUACUGUUUUACUAUUUUAAAUACAUUUUCCCUUCAUUACUGUCCAUAAUUGUUAUUGUUUCUAAAUCACAC